rnacentral:rRNA from 1 species
CCUACGGGAGGCUGCAGUGGGGAAUAUUGCACAAUGGGGGAAACCCUGAUGCAGCGAUGCCGCGUGGAGGAAGAAGGUUUUCGGAUUGUAAACUCCUUUUAUCAGGGACGAUAAUGACGGUAACUGAAGAAAAAGCUCCGGCUAACUACGUGCCAGCAGCCGCGGUAAUACGUAGGGAGCGAGCGUUGUCCGGAAUUACUGGGUGUAAAGGGAGCGUAGGCGGGACUGCAAGUCAGAUGUGAAAACCACGGGCUCAACCUGUGGCCUGCAUUUGAAACUGUAGUUCUUGAGUACUGGAGAGGCAGACGGAAUUCCUAGUGUAGCGGUGAAAUGCGUAGAUAUUAGGAGGAACACCAGUGGCGAAGGCGGUCUGCUGGACAGCAACUGACGCUGAGGCGCGAAAGCGUGGGGAGCAAACAGGAUUAGAUACCCCAGUAGUC